rnacentral:rRNA from 1 species
GACGAACGCUGGCGGCGUGCUUAACACAUGCAAGUCGAACGAUGAAGCUGGAGCUUGCUCCGGUGGAUUAGUGGCGAACGGGUGAGUAACACGUGAGAAAUCUGCCCUUGACUCUGGGAUAACUGCGGGAAACUGUAGCUAAUACCGGAUAUUUUCCUUGGUGGGCAUCCACUGGGGAAGAAAGAAUUUCGGUCAAGGAUGAUCUCGCGGCCUAUCAGCUAGUUGGUGAGGUAAUAGCUCACCAAGGCGACGACGGGUAGCCGGCCUGAGAGGGUAACCGGCCACACUGGGACUGAGACACGGCCCAGACUCCUACGGGAGGCAGCAGUGGGGAAUAUUGCACAAUGGGCGCAAGCCUGAUGCAGCAACGCCGCGUGAGGGAUGAAGGCCUUCGGGUUGUAAACCUCUUUUAGCAGGGAAGAAGCGAAAGUGACGGUACCUGCAGAAAAAGCACCGGCUAACUACGUGCCAGCCGCCGCUGUAA